GGCCUGGUGGCGGAGUGGCUACGCGGCGGGCUUGCAAGCCCGAAAACCCUCCGUUCGACUCGGAGGCCAGGCCUCCA
rnacentral:tRNA from 5 species